CUUUCAGUCAGGAGGAAAGGGUGUGAGUUAAUACCUCACAUCUGUGACGUUACUGACAGAAGAAGCACCGGCUAACUCCGUGCCAGCAGCCGCGGUAAUACGGAGGGUGCGAGCGUUAAUCGGAAUUACUGGGCGUAAAGCGUACGCAGGCGGUUUGUUAAGCGAGAUGUGAAAGCCCCGGGCUCAACCUGGGAACUGCAUUUCGAACUGGCAAACUAGAGUGUGAUAGAGGGUGGUAGAAUUUCAGGUGUAGCGGUGAAAUGCGUAGAGAUCUGAAGGAAUACCGAUGGCGAAGGCAGCCACCUGGGUCAACACUGACGCUCAUGUACGAAAGCGUGGGGAGCAAACAGGAUUAGAUACCCUGGUANNCCACUGC
rnacentral:rRNA from 1 species